rnacentral:rRNA from 1 species
UACGAAGGGGGCUAGCGUUGUUCGGAAUUACUGGGCGUAAAGCGCGCGCAGGCGGUCUUUCAAGUCAGUGGUGAAAGCCUGGAGCUCAACUCCAGAACUGCCAUUGAAACUGCAAGACUUGAGUACGAGAGAGGUGAGUGGAAUUCCCAGUGUAGAGGUGAAAUUCGUAGAUAUUGGGAAGAACACCGGUGGCGAAGGCGGCUUCCUGGACACCAACUGACGCUGAGACGCGAAAGCGUGGGGAGCAAACAGG